GUCAGGAUGGCCGAGCGGUCUAAGGCACUGCGUUCAGGUCGCAGUCCGGUCUUCCGGGCGUGGGUUCGAAUCCCACUUCUGAGA
rnacentral:tRNA from 1 species